rnacentral:rRNA from 1 species
UACGUAGGUGGCAAGCGUUAUCCGGAUUUAUUGGGCGUAAAGGGAACGCAGGCGGUCUUUUAAGUCUGAUGUGAAAGCCUUCGGCUUAACCGGAGUAGUGCAUUGGAAACUGGGAGACUUGAGUGCAGAAGAGGAGAGUGGAACUCCAUGUGUAGCGGUGAAAUGCGUAGAUAUAUGGAAGAACACCGGUGGCGAAAGCGGCUCUCUGGCCUGUAACUGAAACUGAGGCUCGAAAGCGUGGGGAGCAAACAGG